rnacentral:tRNA from 1 species
GAGGGGAUAGCUCAGUGGUAGAGCGUGUGCUUGGCAAGCACGAGGUCCCAGGUUCAAUUCCCAGCUCCUCCA